CCAGUCUCUAAGCCGCGGCGUCUCCGCGGCCGAGAGGCCCUGGUGCCCGCCCCCCGGCCCCCGCCCCCACCCCCGCCCCCGGCUCUGCCCACGCCCUCCGCCCGCCAGCCCGGCAGCCAGCGCAGCGCCGGGCCUCGCUCCCCGUGCGUCCUGCGGGGGCGGAGGCGCGGAGAGGCGGCGAGCGCAGCCGGGGAGGGUGGGGGGGGCAGAGGCACAGACAGAGGCGCGGAGGCUCGGAGAGAGAAGACGUGGAGGGAGGGACAGAGCCUGGACAGCGGUGGACACGGCAUCGUGCGCGGGGCAGAGUGCAGCACGCAGCAGGCGCCGAGCGCUGGGCACCGAGAAGAGCAACCCGGGUGGUCUCCGGCCGUCCAUGCACAGAGCGCCUUCCCCCACAGCCGAGCAGCCGCCGGGCGGAGGGGAGAGCGCCCGCCGGACCCUGCAGCCCAGACUCAAGCCCAGUGCCCGAGCCAUGGCACUGCCUCGGACGCUGGGGGAGCUGCAGCUGUACCGGGUCCUGCAGCGUGCCAACCUCCUUUCCUACUAUGAGACCUUCAUCCAGCAGGGAGGGGACGACGUGCAGCAGCUGUGUGAGGCGGGUGAGGAGGAGUUUCUGGAGAUCAUGGCACUUGUGGGCAUGGCCACCAAGCCCCUCCAUGUCCGGCGCCUGCAGAAGGCACUGAGAGAGUGGGCCACCAAUCCAGGGCUCUUCAGUCAACCAGUGCCUGCUGUUCCCGUCUCCAGCAUCCCGCUCUUCAAGAUCUCUGAGACUGCGGGUACCCGGAAAGGGAGCAUGAGCAAUGGCCAUGGCAGCCCUGGGGAAAAGGCAGGCAGUGCCCGCAGUUUUAGCCCCAAGAGCCCCCUUGAACUUGGAGAGAAGCUAUCACCACUGCCUGGGGGACCUGGGGCAGGGGACCCCCGGAUCUGGCCAGGCCGGAGCACUCCAGAGUCGGACGUUGGGGCAGGAGGAGAAGAGGAGGCUGGCUCGCCCCCCUUCUCCCCCCCUGCAGGGGGAGGAGUCCCUGAGGGGACUGGGGCUGGGGGGCUGGCAGCAGGUGGGACUGGGGGUGGACCAGACCGACUGGAGCCAGAGAUGGUACGCAUGGUGGUGGAAAGUGUGGAGAGGAUCUUCCGGAGCUUCCCAAGGGGGGAUGCUGGGGAGGUCACAUCCCUGCUAAAGCUGAAUAAGAAGCUGGCACGGAGCGUUGGGCACAUCUUUGAGAUGGAUGAUAACGACAGCCAGAAGGAAGAGGAGAUCCGCAAAUACAGCAUCAUCUAUGGCCGUUUCGACUCUAAGCGGCGGGAGGGCAAGCAGCUCAGCCUGCACGAGCUCACCAUCAAUGAGGCUGCUGCCCAGUUCUGCAUGAGGGACAACACACUCUUAUUGCGGAGAGUGGAGCUCUUCUCUUUGUCCCGCCAAGUAGCCCGAGAGAGCACCUACUUGUCCUCCUUGAAGGGCUCCAGGCUCCACCCUGAAGAACUGGGAGGCCCUCCACUGAAGAAGCUGAAACAAGAGGUUGGAGAACAGAGUCACCCUGAAAUCCAGCAGCCUCCCCCAGGCCCUGAGUCCUAUGCACCCCCAUACCGCCCCAGCCUGGAGGAGGACAGCGCCAGCCUGUCUGGGGAGAGUCUGGAUGGACAUUUGCAGGCUGUGGGGUCAUGUCCAAGGCUGACGCCGCCCCCUGCUGACCUGCCUCUGGCAUUGCCAGCCCAUGGGCUAUGGAGCCGCCACAUCCUGCAGCAGACACUGAUGGACGAGGGGCUGCGGCUCGCCCGCCUCGUCUCACACGACCGCGUGGGCCGCCUCAGCCCCUGUGUGCCUGCGAAGCCACCUCUCGCAGAGUUCGAGGAAGGGCUGCUGGACAGAUGUCCUGCCCCAGGACCCCAUCCCGCACUGGUGGAGGGUCGCAGGAGCAGCGUGAAAGUGGAGGCUGAGGCCAGCCGGCAGUGAGGGGUGGACUGGUGUCUUCAGACCCAGGACCUCAGACUUCUGGCUCACACAGACCCCCAUGCUCUCCAUCCCCGGAAUAUAGUCACAACCCUGGAUCCUUCCUCUGCCCUUCUCCUGCCUCCCCACCUGCUCCAUGGGCAUAAGACUGUGGGGCUUCAAGCAAUAACAAGCAGGGGCCUGGAGAGAGGACACAAGGAGGGUUUGCACCAGUGGUGUGAGCAGUUGGACUCAGUUUGGACAAGGGGGAAAGGGGGACUUCCCUGGGAAGGUCCAGCAGCUAAAAGUGGCAACAUUUGCCCCCAGAAUUGGGGGCCUGGGAACACUGGACCUGCUCCUUCUUCCCUCUCCUUCCCCGUUUUUGUGCUUCUGGUUUGUUUCUUUAAUUUAACAAGUGCUGCAGUUUGCCCUCCCAUUCCCAUCUAUCCCCCAAGUCCUUUGCAAUUUCCUCCCUCCUGCCCUACAUGGGGGCGGUGGGUGUGGGAUCCCUUCACUGGCCCCCUUGGGAGGCCUGGGUUGGACUCAGGGUCUCCUCCAGCUGGGGGCUGGACCGCAGCACCUAUCUGAGCAGUUAGAGCGUCUUUCUUUUCAGAUUGUGUACAGUAGAUUAUUUAUUUUGUUAUUUUGGAAUAAAAUUUAUUUUAUGGCUUAGGA